rnacentral:rRNA from 1 species
GAUGAACGCUGGCGGCGUGCCUAAUACAUGCAAGUCGAGCGAACGGACGAGAAGCUUGCUUUUCUGAUGUUAGCGGCGGACGGGUGAGUAACACGUGGAUAACCUACCUAUAAGACUGGGAUAACUUCGGGAAACCGGAGCUAAUACCGGAUAAUAUUUUGAACCGCAUGGUUCAAAAGUGAAAGACGGUCUUGCUGUCACUUAUAGAUGGAUCCGCUCUGCAUUAGCUAGUUGGUAAGGUAACGGCUUACCAAGGCAACGAUGCAUAGCCGACCUGAGAGGGUGAUCGGCCACACUGGAACUGAGACACGGUCCAGACUCCUACGGGAGGCAGCAGUAGGGAAGCUUCCGCAAUGGGCGAAAGCCUGACGGAGCAACGCCGCGUGAGUGAUGAAGGUCUUCGGAUCGUAAAACGCUGUUAUUAGGGAAGAACAUAUGUGUAAGUAACUGUGCACAUCUUGACGGUACCUAAUCAGAAAGCCACGGCUAACUACGUG